AAUAAGUACAGUUUUGCAUCGUUUAUAUUUGACUGUUCGUUUUAUUUAAAUUUUUUUACGAUUAAUAUUUUUAUUGUUAUUAGAUGACAAAAUAUGAAUAAUACUUUAUGUGUGAUUAUUUUAUUUAAAUUUUUUUCAAAUAAGAUGAACGGUCAAAUGUUGAUCACGGAUAUUCACAGCUGUACUUAUU
rnacentral:pre_miRNA from 1 species